AUGAAUACUUCUAGCUUUUUCUUCAGAUCUUCAUUCUUCUCUAUUCAUCUUCUAGCUCCAUGUUUUUGGUCAUCACCUUCUUCAUGUCUAUCAUGCUGGCAAACAUCUGGUUCUCCUGUCGACGAAUGUGUUGGUUCAACUCCUGGAUGUAGGGUGCAAUGUAUUUGUCCCUCCUGGUGUUGA
rnacentral:rRNA from 1 species